UGCAAGUCGAACGAUGAACCAGGAGCUUGCUCUUGGGGAUUAGUGGCGAACGGGUGAGUAACACGUGAGUAACCUGCCCUUGACUCUGGGAUAACCUCCGGAAACGGAAGCUAAUACCGGAUACGAACUGCGAAGGCAUCUUCAGCAGUUGGAAAGAACUUCGGUCAAGGAUGGACUCGCGGCCUAUCAGGUAGUUGGUGAGGUAACGGCUCACCAAGCCUACGACGGGUAGCCGGCCUGAGAGGGUGACCGGCCACACUGGGACUGAGACACGGCCCAGACUCCUACGGGAGGCAGCAGUGGGGAAUAUUGCACAAUGGGCGCAAGCCUGAUGCAGCAACGCCGCGUGAGGGAUGACGGCCUUCGGGUUGUAAACCUCUUUUAGUAGGGAAGAAGCGAAAGUGACGGUACCUGCAGAAAAAGCACCGGCUAACUACGUGCCAGCAGCCGCGGUAAUACGUAGGGUGCGAGCGUUGUCCGGAAUUAUUGGGCGUAAAGAGCUCGUAGGCGGUCUGUCGCGUCUGCUGUGAAAACCCGAGGCUCAACCUCGGGCCUGCAGUGGGUACGGGCAGACUAGAGUGCGGUAGGGGAGAAUGGAAUUCCUGGUGUAGCGGUGGAAUGCGCAGAUAUCAGGAGGAACACCGAUGGCGAAGGCAGUUCUCUGGGCCGUAACUGACGCUGAGGAGCGAAAGCGUGGGGAGCGAACAGGAUUAGAUACCCUGGUAGUCCACGCCGUAAACGUUGGGCGCUAGAUGUGGGGACCAUUCCACGGUUUCCGUGUCGCAGCUAACGCAUUAAGCGCCCCGCCUGGGGAGUACGGCCGCAAGGCUAAAACUCAAAGGAAUUGACGGGGGCCCGCACAAGCGGCGGAGCAUGCGGAUUAAUUCGAUGCAACGCGAAGAACCUUACCAAGGCUUGACAUAUACGAGAACGGGCUAGAAAUAGUCAACUCUUUGGACACUCGUAAACAGGUGGUGCAUGGUUGUCGUCAGCUCGUGUCGUGAGAUGUUGGGUUAAGUCCCGCAACGAGCGCAACCCUCGUUCUAUGUUGCCAGCACGUAAUGGUGGGAACUCAUAGGAGACUGCCGGGGUCAACUCGGAGGAAGGUGGGGAUGACGUCAAAUCAUCAUGCCCCUUAUGUCUUGGGCUUCACGCAUGCUACAAUGGCCGGUACAAAGGGCUGCAAUACCGCAAGGUGGAGCGAAUC
rnacentral:rRNA from 1 species